AUCUAAAUGAAAGAAUAGUGCCCUACAAGCCAAUCGCAUAAAUGAUGUAAUGGAACUAUUCUGUAUAAUCUUCCUACUCAUUUAUAUGAUAUUUGUUAUUUUUUUUAUAUAUAAGGCAUUGUGUUUCAUCAUUUGUUGUAUCAUGUUUUAUGAUUAUGAUGAACCCCAUAGAUUAGGAUAAUAAUUUUAAGAAUAUGAUGAAAUCAUACCAGUG
rnacentral:lncRNA from 1 species